rnacentral:rRNA from 1 species
AUGGAUGGAGUUGUAUUUCUGCAUGAAGCUCCGAACUCUAUACAAAAUAAAAAACAAAGUGCUAUUUUAUUCAAAGUUGACUUUGAAAAAGCAUAUGACAAAAUCAAGUGGCCUUUUGCUCAUAAGAUGCUCCAAUUAAAAAACUUCCCUGACAAAUGGUGUGGCUGGGUGUUGCACACUAUGAGAGGGGGGCAUGUAGCAGUCAAAGUAAAUGAUGAUAUAGGUCCUUACUUCAAUACCUUUAAAGGACUAAGGCAGGGAGAUUCUUUAUCUCCUCUGCUCUUUGAUUUGGCAGUUGAUGCUCUGACCAUCAUUCUGGAUAGGGCCAGAGAGGAAGGGCUUGUAAAAGGGGUUCUCACUGAUUACCAUGAAAAUGGAGUCAAUAUGCUGCAAUAA